UGGAGCAGGAGGAGGUGGAGGUGGAGGAGGAGGUGGAAGCCAAAGUAGAGGCAGAGGUCAUAACAGAGGUGGAGGUGAACACAGAAGCAGAGGUGGUGGCGAAAACCGAGGAAGAGGCAGAGGCAAAUAAGUCUAAAAAAGAUCGCCAACUUUUGCACCAUGCUCGAACUUUCAAGUAAUUGUUGUAAUCUUUACAAAUAGGACUUAAUGUAAUUUUCAAAAAUAGCAAUCGAUGUAAUCUUAUGUGUUUAGAAAUAUUAGUAAAUUAA